UUAUGGUCUGUGAAAACAAUGGAGGGGAGUGGUCAUUACACCAAAGCAACUCUGAAAUCCCCUUCUGUGACCUUUUCCGGAUACUGAAUACAGCUCCCUGUGCUAUCCAGUAGAAACUUGUCAUGAAUCCAGUCCCAUAAAUAAGAGCUUACAUCAGCAGCAGCGUACUGUGUGUUAUCAAACAGAGCUCACCAAGUGUAUCCACACGAGCCGAAGGCUUAUAACUGAAGACAGGGGGAGUCAAGAUGGCGGAGGAUUAGGAGGAUGUGGAGUUCAACUUUCCUCACCUCAUCAAGAAUACAUCUCCAAAUGGGAGAAGUCUCGCAGAGCACCUGCUGAACGCUAGCAGAAGACCUCAGACACUGAGUCAGGGUAAGGAAGAUGCCUGCAUACCUGGGUGGGGAACUGAAGGCAGGAGAGGCUCCCACAUCUGGGAUGCCCUCCCGCUGGUGGGGAGAUGCGCUGGGACAGAGGGGCGCUUUGGGGCUUGGAGGAGAGUGCAGCAGCCAGGCUGUGGCAGGCAGGACAGAGUGAGACUUGCGCAGAUGGUCGGUGCCACAGCCCUGCAUGCCCCAGCCUCAGACACUGUCUGCUGGUGCAGAUGGGGGCCGGCACUGCGGGGUAUAGAAACAGACCUGCGGAGGGAACAGCUGUAGGCUGCGGGGAGGAGAGUGAGGAAGCCACGACCCGGCACGCUCACAGAGGAAGACCGCACAGCCACAGA